rnacentral:misc_RNA from 1 species
UUAACUAUUAUAUAGUACUCAGACAUCACUAAAAUACAGGGUUUGGUCCUCUGGCAGGCACAUGCAGGCAGAGCCCACAGGCACGAGGCGCGGCCUGCCAAAGCAACAAGAGUAUGUAGACACGGAUGGAGAAGACCGUAGUCUAAACCUGUAAUGAUCCUUCCGCAGGUUCACCUACGGAAA